rnacentral:rRNA from 1 species
UCUAACGAGACUGCCGACGUCAAGUCGGAGGAAGGUGGAGAUGACGUCAAGUCCUCAUGGCCCUUAUGCCCAGGGCUACACACGUGCUACAAUGGCCGGUACAAAGGGACGCAAAGCGCGAGGUGGAGCCAAUCCCAAAAAACCGUCCUCAGUUCGGAUUGUAGUCUGCAACUCGACUACAUGAAGCUGGAAUCGCUAGUAAUCGGAGAUCAGCACGCUCCGGUCGAAUACGUUCCCGGGCCUU